rnacentral:rRNA from 1 species
ACGUAGGGAGCGAGCGUUGUCCGGAAUUACUGGGUGUAAAGGGAGCGUAGGCGGGACGGCAAGUCAGAUGUGAAAACUAUGGGCUCAACCCAUAGACUGCAUUUGAAACUGUUGUUCUUGAGUGAGGUAGAGGUAAGCGGAAUUCCUGGUGUAGCGGUGAAAUGCGUAGAGAUCAGGAGGAACAUCGGUGGCGAAGGCGGCUUACUGGGCCUUUACUGACGCUGAGGCUCGAAAGCGUGGGGAGCAAACAG